rnacentral:rRNA from 1 species
CCUACGGGAGGCAGCAGUGGGGAAUAUUGCGCAAUGGGCGAAAGCCUGACGCAGCGACGCCGCGUGCGGGAUGAAGGCCUUCGGGUUGUAAACCGCUGUCGGGAGGGACGAAUCAAUGACGGUACCUCCAAAGGAAGCACCGGCUAACUCUGUGCCAGCAGCCGCGGUAAUACAGAGGGUGCAAGCGUUGUCCGGAAUUACUGGGCGUAAAGGGCGCGUAGGCGGUUCGGUAAGUAGGGGGUGAAAUGCUGCGGCUCAACCGCAGCCCUGCCUUCUAAACUGCCAGACUUGAGCGUAACAGAGGCAGGUGGAAUUCCCGGUGUAGCGGCGGAAUGCGUAGAGAUCGGGAAGAACAUCGGUGGCGAAGGCGGCCUGCUGGGUUACUGCUGACGCUGAGGCGCGAUAGCGUGGGGAGCAAACAGGAUUAGAUACCCUGGUAGUCCACGCCGUAAACGAUGGGUACUAGGCGCUGGGGGGAGCGACCCCUCGGUGCCGUCGCUAACGCAAUAGUACCCGCCUGGGGAGUACGGCCGCAAGGCNGAACACAANAGAUGACGCGNGAGACGNGCGACGACGACGACGAGGGAGAG